AGCAGCAGAAUCUCAGCACUGACAUGGACUAUAUAUUAGUGCUCACAGGAUCUUUCUGGGUAACCUUGAUAUGCAGGCUCCCAGAAGUCUCAGAGAAGAGUCUUAGGCACCGAAUUCUGGAGGAGAGAGGACCUUUACACUGACCCACUAUAGCUAUUCCUGUCUGCAAUUCUGGCAGAGAAUGUGGCCACUGGAUCCUAGUGUUCCACUCAUGUGGCAGUGGCUUAUCAUCAUGGCAUGUGCAGUGCUCUGUCCCAGGCCUGCAGGCACAGAGGCUGGCAGUCACUUGCCCAGCCACAGCCACCCCAGUUGUGAUGCCCUCAGGCUCUGUUCCUGGUCUGCUGCUGUCCUUCCAAAAAAAGGACUGUUCAGACAAUGGCAAGACAAAGCCUUUAAACUUCAAGGAGGAAGACUUCUACCUUCUUAGAUGGC